UUCUAUAAAGAGAACUUCCAGUUGUACCCAGUAACCAACAGCAGAUACUGUACAUACAAUCCACAGGGAAGAGUACUAUAGAGAUCUCCUAUGCAAGGUGGGAGGUACAUACAGGAGGUUUAGAUGAAGCCACUGGUGAUAACCAGUUAAAUACAGCUUGCUGGGCCAGAGCCAGUGUAGCAAACAUAAUAAAAAUGCAUGGUGGUAAGUGGAAGCUUCCAGGUGAGUGGUUUAUUUGCUGUUUGUCUGUAAAGGGAAUUAGGAAAAAUAUACUUCCCAUAAUCCAUCAGUAAGACAUUCACAUGUGUAAAUUCCAUGUCUACUUUUUUGGACUUGGUUUUUGGUUGGUGAUGAUGAUGCGUUCAUCUCAAAUUUCAGUGCAUGAGACCCUUUGAAAUGUUGCUUUGGCAGCUUAGAUUUCAUCUCAAUUCACAAUUAAAUACAGAGAAAACCAUAAAAUGACACAAAAAUAGUUUCUGAAAAAUGGCUAGAGACCCCCUCCAAACUAUGCCUAGUACCGUAUGAUCACUGGGAUGUUAUUUAAUGCAAUUUAAAACCACAAAUAUGUAUGAUCCAAGGACUUUAAAUCCUGUUGAUUUCAAUGGGAUAAAAAGCACAUACUUAACUCUCUGAUAACAAUAAGUCUUAAAUGUGCUUAAUUUUGAAUUAAACCUACAGUUUCAUAAUUUUCAAAACUAUUGUUUUGUAUUGCACCUAUUUCAAGUAGAUAUUAUUUAAACAAUUAGCCUUAGACUACUUUUAAUAUAUUAUUAUAGAUUCUGGUAUACAAAGUAUUAUAAGCAAACAAAUAGGUCUCUGUCUGAAGGAAUUUAUAAUCUAAAUUUCAAUCUUAUAGCUGUGAAAGAACAUUUUUUGGCAAAAUCCAGGCAUCCUUUCCUUCUCAGUUUCAGCAUUCCCAGUUCUUUAUAGCUUAUGAGAAUUUGUUGUGCAUGAUUUUCUACAGGGUUCUCCAAUGUUAACAUCUAGCCUUGUGCGAAUAUGAACAUUAUAGAUUUACCGGGGAAAGCGGACUACUUCUGGAAGCUAAGCAGCAACCAAUUCAGGAUCUAAACCUGCAUGAACUGAAAUCCAUAGUGACAACAACAGCAUGGAGAUUAAGCACCUGCAAAUCUGCCAACGAAAAUGAAAAAUGUUGCCUUUUAUUCAUCUGGGUUCUUUCUUCAGAAUAGAAGAAAUAGAAGAAACAUAAAUAUAUACAGAUUCCAUCUACAGAAAGAGCAUGUGUAAGUUAUGAAAGAAGAACGGCAAUGUUUACAUUUCUGAGUGAGAGUUGGAGAAGAAGCUGAGUGAGGAGGCCCUGGUAAGAGUUGAAAUACAGGCUACCACAGGACAGCUCCAAGGGUCAGAUUCCUCAAGAGGUGAAAGAACUGGAGACCUGUUGUGCCUUCUGGAUUGUACUCUUUAUUUACAAGCAGGGAUGAGUUGCUGGGCUUUAGAUGGCACUGAAGAACCUCAUGUUUGUAUUUUUGCUCAAGAAAAUUGGCUGAUGCUCAUAAAGGGCAAGAGGAUCCCUGAGACAAGGGGGAAAUGCAAGAAGCUAGAAGGAAAUCUUACAGGAAACAGAUUGGAUCCUUGGUCUGCUGUCUUUCCCUAAAGCAGCUUUAUUUUUGUGGGAAGAAAAACACACACACACAUCCAUCAGAUGUUAUCAAUUGAAAAAUAAAAAGGCCACCACAAAAUAUGUCAUGGAUGGUACGUGUUCAAA